rnacentral:rRNA from 1 species
UACGGAGUGCUCCAAGCGUUAUCCGGAAUUAUUGGGCGUAAAGGGUGUGUAGGCGGUAAUGUUAGUCUUCUGUUAAAUUCUUCGGCUUAACCGGGGGCAAGCAGAGGAAACGGCAUAACUAGAGGGUGCGAGAGGUGAAUGGAACUCAUGGAGUAGGGGUGAAAUCCGUUGAUAUCAUGGGGAACACCAAAUGCGAAGGCAAUUCACUGGCGCAUUCCUGACGCUGAAAACACGAAAGCGUAGGUAGCGAAUGGG